AAAGGAAUAGACGGGGGCCCGCACAAGCAGCGGAGCAUGUGGUUUAAUUCGAAGCAACGCGAAGAACCUUACCAGGUCUUGACAUCCAGUAAAGCCUGUAGAGAUACAGAUUCCCUUCGGGGGUACUGAGACAGGUGGUGCAUGGUUGUCGUCAGCUCGUGUCGUGAGAUGUUGGGUUAAGUCCCGCAACGAGCGCAACCCUUGUUGAUAGUUACUAACGCGUAAAGGUGAGGACUCUAUCAAGACCGCCGGGGACAACUCGGAGGAAGGUGGGGACGACGUCAAAUCAUCAUGCCCCUUAUGACCUGGGCUACACACGUGCUACAAUGGCCGACACAGAGAGGAGCGAACCCGCAAGGGGGAGCAGAUCUCAAAAAAGCGGUCUCAGUUCAGAUUGUGGGCUGCAACCCGCCCACAUGAAGGAGGAGUUGCUAGUAAUCGCGAAUCAGCAUGUCGCGGUGAAUACGUUCCCGGGCCUUGUACACACCGCCCGU
rnacentral:rRNA from 1 species